rnacentral:tRNA from 1 species
GAAAUAUGGUAAUCAGAAAUAAGCUUCUAACUUAAUUUCUAAGCAGUGAAAAUCUGUUUAUGUUUCU